rnacentral:lncRNA from 1 species
GAAAAUAUGGAAUAUAUAAUAUUUGAAUGCAAAUGGCAAUUAUUAAAUAGCUGUAGAAAUAAAUAAAAUGAGCAAUUGACUAAUACACGUCAGCACGUGACUCCACCUUUAUAUAAUAAUAAUUUCCCCGUUGCCCCUGUCCAUCUCACAGUCGCAGUCCAACUCCAACUCACAGAAAAAAUUGCAGCGAAAUCUCUCUCUUUAAUCUUUAUAUAUCUGCUCUCCCGUGGAUCAGAGUUUCUCUCUAUCUCCGAAUGUUUCGCUCGAUUCUGUUGAGAUUUUUCCUGCUCUUAAUAGAUUGUGGAAACCCUAAGCUGGCUGCUCUGAUCACCGUUUAGGAAGGGGAAGACGAACACUCUUCUCUGGAAUCCUUUUCUGAAUCAAACUCCCCUUCUUUCCCCCAUUUAUAAAUAUACAUUAGAGAGAGUGGCGAAGUGGAGAAGGGAGUGAGAGGAAGAGGUGACGAAGCGUAUUGCUGUAUGUCAGUAGAUUGUAAAGAGUCUUACCUUGGUGGAAUUGGUGAGCUUGCGAAUCCCUUGCAAUGGCCUCAGCUCAGGAAAAAGCGAAGAUUCCUUCCUCUUCUUCUUCUUCUUCUAAUUCUGCCUGCUGUGGUGGAGAUUCCCGUUCUGUUAUUCCCCGUCAGGCUUCUGUCACUCAGUCCCCUGUUCCUGAGAAUGCCGUCCAGGAUUGGACUGUUCCUCCCGCCGAUCGUCGCCGGAGAGACGAUCAGAUCGGCGUCAAGGCUAUCACGCCCUUGAUUGCUCCUCCGGUCGACUCCCUUCCUGAAUCUUCAGCCAAUUUGGCCGCCAAAGGUACUCCCC